rnacentral:rRNA from 1 species
UCUGGGAAUACGGGUGGUUCCGAAAGGGCGAAAGGGGAGAUUCAAGUUUCGCCGCGCGCCGUGGCGGGCCCGAAGCAAGGGAUGGCGUUCUCGCGGCCGGUGGGGUGACCCCCGGUCCGGGAGGGUGACCCCCGGUCCGGGAGCGCCACCCUUCGAGGCGCUGUUCGUCCGGCGUCGGAGUGACGCACUUCUCCCCCGGUAGAACGUCGCGAUCCGUCGGUCGCCGGCCUAAGGCCCCGGGUGGAGCCGUUCUUUUUCCGCGAGCGACCCCGGGGAUCCCGGCCGGGUGCCCGACGGCAUGAAGAGAGGAAGGAGUCGGCGCGCCUCUUUAGGCGUCCGCCCCUCCGCAAGCGCCCGCGGGAGUCGGGGAUCCGGGCCCGGCCCGGUCUCCUUCUUCAGCGGGGCUGUUUGCGANGNGNAGGUGUGCUCGGAY